rnacentral:lncRNA from 1 species
GAAAACUUCAAAAACCCCCCUGUGGUUUCGUGCAUUCUCACUUUGCUACCCUGUGGUUUAAAACGUAUCAAUUUGCCCCCCUGUGGUUUCGUUUUUAUCUUUUUGUUAUCAAUUUUAUUAUUAUUAUUUUUUUAAAUCAGUGACAAAGUUAAAAUUAAAGGAUACUAAAAUGACUAUUCGAUAAAUAUAGAUGGUUAUCUGAAGUUUUUUGUAUAUAAUUUAACGAAAUAUUAACGAAAAAGCUUCCGAAAAGAUAAAAAUGAAACCACAGGGGGGGUAAAUUGAUACGUUUUAAACCACAGGGUAGCAAAAUGAGAAUGCACGAAACCACAGGGGGGUUUUUGAAGUUUU